GGCAGUGGCGGCAUGCUAUACAUGCAGUAGAACGCUGAAGAGAGGAGCUUGCUCUUCUUGGAUGAGUUGCGAACGGGUGAGUAACGCGUAGGUAACCUGCCUUGUAGCGGGGGAUAACUAUUGGAAACGAUAGCUAAUACCGCAUAACAAUGGAUGACACAUGUCAUUUAUUUGAAAGGGGCAAUUGCUCCACUACAAGAUGGACCUGCGUUGUAUUAGCUAGUAGGUGAGGUAAUGGCUCACCUAGGCGACGAUACAUAGCCGACCUGAGAGGGUGAUCGGCCACACUGGGACUGAGACACGGCCCAGACUCCUACGGGAGGCAGCAGUAGGGAAUCUUCGGCAAUGGGGGCAACCCUGACCGAGCAACGCCGCGUGAGUGAAGAAGGUUUUCGGAUCGUAAAGCUCUGUUGUAAGUCAAGAACGGGUGUGAGAGUGGAAAGUUCACACUGUGACGGUAGCUUACCAGAAAGGGACGGCUAACUACGUGCCAGCAGCCGCGGUAAUACGUAGGUCCCGAGCGUUGUCCGGAUUUAUUGGGCGUAAAGCGAGCGCAGGCGGUUUGAUAAGUCUGAAGUUAAAGGCUGUGGCUCAACCAUAGUUCGCUUUGGAAACUGUCAAACUUGAGUGCAGAAGGGGAGAGUGGAAUUCCAUGUGUAGCGGUGAAAUGCGUAGAUAUAUGGAGGAACACCGGUGGCGAAAGCGGCUCUCUGGUCUGUAACUGACGCUGAGGCUCGAAAGCGUGGGGAGCGAACAGGAUUAGAUACCCUGGUAGUCCACGCCGUAAACGAUGAGUGCUAGGUGUUGGAUCCUUUCCGGGAUUCAGUGCCGCAGCUAACGCAUUAAGCACUCCGCCUGGGGAGUACGACCGCAAGGUUGAAACUCAAAGGAAUUGACGGGGGCCCGCACAAGCGGUGGAGCAUGUGGUUUAAUUCGAAGCAACGCGAAGAACCUUACCAGGUCUUGACAUCCCGAUGCUAUUUCUAGAGAUAGAAAGUUACUUCGGUACAUCGGUGACAGGUGGUGCAUGGUUGUCGUCAGCUCGUGUCGUGAGAAGUUUGGGGUUAAGUCCCCCAACCAACGGCACCCCCUAUUGUUAGUUGCCACCAUUCAAUUUGGGCACUCUACCGAGACUGCCGGUAAUAAACCCGAGGAAAAGGGGGGGAAGGAAGUCCAAAUAAUUCAUGGCCCCUUAUAAACUGGGGGGACCAACCUGGUCCCAAAGGUGGUG
rnacentral:rRNA from 1 species